GAGGCUCCUCCAUAGAGGUGGAGGAGGCCUGGCCUCCCCAAUAAUUUGAGAGAAGAGAGAGAUUUAAAAAAAACAAUAAAUAUAUUUAUUUUAUUUAUUUAUUUUAACAAAAAACAUAUUUUUUAUUUUUUAUAUUCAUAUUAUUUUAGUUUUGUUCAUAAAUCUAAAUGUUCCCAUGGCUAAAACCCAAUAUUGCAAUUGUAAAGCAACAGGCCAGAUUUCCCUAUCAGUUUGUAUUAAGGGAGGCCAGGCCUCCCCUAGGAAAUUAGCUUCUCAUAGAAGUCAAUGUAAUGCAUGCUUUUUCAUGCCAAUAUGUGAUUGGCCAGAUCACUGAAAAUGGGUGGGCAACGGAGGCCUGGCCUCACCAUGCAUUGUGUCCAGGGCUGAAAGAUUGACAUUUUGUUCGUCCAAUCACAUGCUACUGGUUCAUUUGGAAUCAAUCCUUUCCUUUCCUAAUCAACACAGAAGCCAUUUUGAGAAUUCGCCAGCCACUUCAGUCAAACAAACACUCGCCAUAGUGGCUACGAGUGUCCUAUCAACUUGUGCUUUUCAGGAAAUUUAGAGAACACCCCUGGCUAUCAUCCGUGAAGUUUAUAGCUCAUAUAGCCAAAUACUUUUGCUUAAAACGACCUCGGAAAUCGGCGAGAUUCUGGCGCAAUUUGAGAUCUUGGGCUGGAGAUAGAUAUGCGUUAACGUUAAACCCUUCACUCUAGGCAUUUCUCCUUGAGUUGACAACAUCUCUGAGACAGAUUUCGAAAGCAAAAGCUGCUGCUGCUAAUCGCUCAUUGACAUUUAUCUCUGUAGUUUGGACAUUUUUACAGUUGAAGUUUAGCUCAUUGUUUUCCAUCCAGUUAGCUGUGUGUGUUCGAGCAAGCCUAGAUUAGCCAGGCAAAAUGGAUGUGAGAGAGGAAAAUGUACAUGGAACAGGUGCUUGUGGUGGUGGCUUGGGUCCGAAUCCAGUGGAAGAGGAGGAUGGAGUUCAACCUAGAUGCAGGCCAUGGGAUGGGAAAGAAAAUCUAGUCGACUAUUUGUUGUCCCAGCCAUUCCAUACUUUAGACCAUGCUUCAAAAGUGAAGAUAAAAAUAUUUCAUUUUCUUUUGUACUUUUUUUUUAAUUGUUGAAGGGAAACAAAAAGCAGAGACAAGACCGUUUUUGCAAUCAACGUUACAGUUUUUUUUUAAUCUGGGGAUGGAUGGCUGAGUUGGACACGUUCUGGAUCCACACGACCUUAGAUGAAGCCAGCUGCAACCCGUAGAGUGGAGUCGUGGAGAGAGCCCCUCGCCCCUCAGCUAAACCAGAGUAAAUGAAGCCAGCACCAACCUGUGGAGUGGAGUCCAGGAGAGAGCAUGCCGCCCCUCAGCUAAACCAGAUCAGAUAAAGCCAACUGGAACCAUAUUUUUACAUAUUUUAUAUUAAAUAUAUUGAAUAAAACUACAUAUGAUAAAGAAAGUGUUAUCUUAUCUUUUUUAUAUGCUAAACUUGAUUAAAUUGGUGAUUACAUGUUGAAGCUGUAGAAGAAUGAAAAAUGUAAGCUAAACAAAAUUGUUUUUAACUACAUAAUUAAAAUUCCUGCCUUUUACACAUGUUCACUUGGCGUUUAUAUAACAUCCAAAUGUCAUUUCUCAGCUUAAUUAUCAGGCAGGCUCAUAGACUUACAGCAAUGUAAUUUCUUCAGGAAGGCACAAGGCUAAGCUCUGCACAAUGAAUUGCAUCAGCAAGAACUUUCUGACUGUAGCUUACACUCCAAAUAGUAUGCCUUUGGCCAGCACAAAGACAGAUAAGAGAACAGGGAACAUUCCAUCGCGAGUGAAGUGAGCAAGCGGAAAAAAAUGGCCUCCUCAAUUCUGGAAGUCACCAGCCUC